rnacentral:rRNA from 1 species
AUUGAACGCUGGCGGCAUGCCUUACACAUGCAAGUCGAACGGUAACGGGCCUUCGGGUGCCGACGAGUGGCGAACGGGUGGGUAAUACAUCGGAACGUGCCCGAUCGUGGGGGAUAACGAGGCGAAAGCUUUGCUAAUACCGCAUACGAUCUACGGAUGAAAGCAGGGGACCGCAAGGCCUUGCGCGGACGGAGCGGCCGAUGGCAGAUUAGGUAGUUGGUGGGAUAAAAGCUUACCAAGCCGACGAUCUGUAGCUGGUCUGAGAGGAUGAUCAGCCACACUGGGACUGAGACACGGCCCAGACUCCUACGGGAGGCAGCAGUGGGGAAUUUUGGACAAUGGGCGCAAGCCUGAUCCAGCCAUGCCGCGUGCAGGAUGAAGGCCUUCGGGUUGUAAACUGCUUUUGUACGGAACGAAAAGCCUUCUUUUAAUACAGGGGGGUCAUGACGGUACCGGAAGAAUAAGCACCGGCUAACUACGUG